GUGCCUUAAACUAAUGAGUAAGGAAAAUAUCGAACCUUGGUGAUGCUUGGUUCUUAUAAUCAAAUUUUAUAAUCAAUUUUUGGAAGGGUACAGGUUGUCCCACGGGAGGCAUGCCUACUUUUGCAUGCCACUCGGGUGAUAGCAAUCUGCCCU